UACAGAGGGUGCAAGCGUUGUUCGGAUUUACUGGGCGUAAAGGGCGCGUAGGCGGUCAGCACAAGUCAGUUGUGAAAUCUCCGGGCUUAACUCGGAAAGGUCAACUGAUACUGUGCGACUAGAGUGCAGAAGGGGCAACUGGAAUUCUCGGUGUAGCGGUGAAAUGCGUAGAUAUCGAGAGGAACACCUGCGGCGAAGGCGGGUUGCUGGGCUGACACUGACGCUGAGGCGCGAAAGCCAGGGGAGCGAACGGG
rnacentral:rRNA from 1 species